GACGGAAGGUGCAAGCGUUGCUCGGAAUCACUGGGCGUAAAGCGCACGUAGGCGGAUUGCUAAGUCAGGGGUGAAAUCCUGGAGCUCAACUCCAGAACUGCCCUUGAUACUGGCGGUCUCGAGUCCGGGAGAGGUGAGUGGAACUGCGAGUGUAGAGGUGAAAUUCGUAGAUAUUCGCAAGAACACCAGUGGCGAAGGCGGCUCACUGGCCCGGUACUGACGCUGAGGUGCGAAAGCGUGGGGAGCAAACAGG
rnacentral:rRNA from 1 species